CGUAGGUGGUUGUGUAAGUCAGAUGUGAAAUCCCCCGGCUCAACCGGGGAACUGCAUUUGAUACUGCAUGACUCGAGUGCAGCAGAGGGAAACGGAAUUCCUGGUGUAGAGGUGAAAUUCGUAGAUAUCAGGAGGAACACCGGUGGCGAAGGCGGUUUCCUGGGCUGACACUGACACUGAGGCGCGAAAGCGUGGGUAGCAAACAGGAUUAGAUACCCUGGUAGUCCACGCUGUAAACGGUGAGUACUGGGUGUGGGAGGUGUAAUGCCUUCUGUGCCGAAGCUAACGCGUUAAGUACUCCGCCUGGGGAGUACGGCCGCAAGGUUGAA
rnacentral:rRNA from 1 species